rnacentral:rRNA from 1 species
ACUGACAGCCAUGGUUACCGCGGCUGCUGGCACGGAGUUAGCCGGUGCUUCUUCUGUGAGUGAUGUCCUUCCUGCCGGCUAUUAACCCGCAGGCCUUCUUCCUCACUGAAAGUGCUUUACAACCCGAAGGCCUUCUUCACACACGCGGCAUGGCUGGAUCAGGGUUGCCCCCAUUGUCCAAUAUUCCCCACUGCUGCCUCCCGUAGGAGUCUGGGCCGUGUCUCAGUCCCAGUGUGGCUGAUCAUCCUCUCAGACCAGCUACGGAUCGUCGCCUUGGUGAGCCGUUACCUCACCAACCAGCUAAUCCGACAUAGGCUCAUCCGAUAGCGCGAGGCCCGAAGGUCCCCCGCUUUCCCCCGUAGGGCGUAUGCGGUAUUAGCCUGGGUUUCCCCAGGUUAUCCCCCACUACCGGGCAGAUUCCUAUGCAUUACUCACCCGUCCGCCGCUCGCCACCAGGGAGCAAGCUCCCCGUGCUGCCGCUCGACUUGCAUGUGUUAGGCCUGCCGCCAGCGUUC